rnacentral:rRNA from 1 species
GUGCCAGCAGCCGCGGUAAUACAGGGGGUGCAAACGUUGCUCGGAAUUAUUGGGCGUAAAGCGCGCGUAGGCGGCUACCUAAGUCGGAUGUGAAAGCCCCUGGCUUAACUGGGGAAGUGCACCCGAAACUGGGUAGCUAGAGUGCAAAAGAGGGUCGCGGAAUUCCCGGUGUAGAGGUGAAAUUCGUAGAUAUCGGGAGGAACACCGGUGGCGAAGGCGGCGACCUGGGUUGACACUGACGCUGAGGCGCGAAAGCGUGGGGAGCAAACAGGAUUAGAAACCCUGGUAGUCC